rnacentral:rRNA from 1 species
GACGAACGCUGGCGGCGUGCUUAACACAUGCAAGUCGAACGGAAAGGCCCUGCUUUUGUGGGGUGCUCGAGUGGCGAACGGGUGAGUAACACGUGAGUAAACUGCCCUUGACUUUGGGAUAACUUCAGGAAACUGGGGCUAAUACCCGAUAGGAGCUCCUGCUGCAUGGGGGGGGUUGGAAAAUUUCGGCGGUUGGGGAUGGACUCGCGGCUUAUCAGCUUGUUGGUGGGGUAGUGGCUUACCAAGGCUUUGACGGGUAGCCGGCGUGAGAGGGUGACCGGCCACAUGGGGACUGAGAUACGGCCCAGACUCCUACGGGAGGCAGUAGGGGGGAAUAUGGCACAAUGGGCGGAAGCCUGAUGCAGCAACGCCGCGUGCGGGAUGACGGCCUUCGGGUUGUAAACCGCUUUCGCCUGUGACGAAGCGUGAGUGACGGUAAUGGGUAAAGAAGCACCGGCUAACUACGUG